AGGCAGGCGUUUAAUAUGUGAGUCGUAUGUAAUAUCAGAAAAAAUUAUUCUGGAUUGAAGUUUUCAUUUUAGAAUAUGAGACAGCGAUUCAUCCCGCCCCAAGCGAAGCCCGGGUACUGCCGCGCGGAAAACGUCAAACUGAAGCACCAGCGGACGCGAUCCUUCCAAAGGAGAGAAGGGGGAAGGGAGGCUCCUCCGCAGAUCCCCGCCCCUCCCGCUCUGGAUCCGCUUGUCAGCUCUCCGAGGGAGUCGUGCAGCGCUUACCACCUGCCCUGCCGUGGUGGCGACUGCAGGAGGAACUGGAGGAGAGCAGGCCUCGGUAGCCCUGGUUUUCCAGCCCGCUCAGCUCGCUUCUCCUCUCGGCCUCAGAGCGAGUCGUGGCAGGCGAGUAGCGUCAUUAGGCACGUAACCGGCGCCUCGUAUUUGACAUUGUCGUCAGAGCGCCUCCUUCCGUUCCGCUCCUAUCUCAGCUGAGCGAAGAGGGCCUGUACAGGAGAAGGAUUGCUUGGGCUGAGCCGAGGAGAGUGCCUAAGGCCCCUACGCUUAGCGGUAAAGGGGAUCGGUAGCUGUAUGCAGUUAAGGGUUACUGCAUUUGGUGUAGGAAAACAAAGGCGAAGCUUCGCCCUUACGGCUCUUUUCGCCCGCCGCGCUGCACAAAAUCAAUAGAGAAUAGAACAUAUUGGUGGAUUUUCUUGCGACAAGAACCGCAUGCAAGCGCAGAUUAGGAUUCGUGCUUGUUCUGUACAGUUCUGGUGAAAGGAAGCCUCGGCAAUCGUGGAAACGCAGCUUUGAAGAGAACUCCGGUUUUGGAGCAAAAAAUGGGGUUAUUUUAGUAUUGCGGGCGUCUUUAGAUUGCAGAGAAGGAAGCUGCAUAUAACACCCUCACUCUGCUUAAGAAUAUUGUACAGUAUUUAAUGUCUACAAAAAGAACCAGGAAAGUGUAGCUUUCUAGACCUGAUUGGGUUGCAACUCUCCUGAACUUUAAUCAGAAUAGUAGGGAUAAUUGAGGUUUUAGGUAAUCAGUUUCUGGAAGGCCUAAACUCCACCCAUUUUAAUGGCCCUUUAUUGUACAACAUCCUGGGAGAGUACACUACAGGGACUAUGGUCCGCCCAAGUGUUCGGCAUGAUAUCCAUCUCUUCUAGAAUAUUGAUCAAUUCUGGGUUCAUCCAAGCCAUGUCUAUGCGAGACCAUGAGCCACUCUGGAGUGUCUGAGGUAGAUUUGCGGUGCAGCCAAGUAUUGAGCACCAUCGUCAGUGGAGGACCCACUACUACUGCUCGCCUUCUCCACCGCCAUUCGCUUGCACCUCUGAAGCUGCCUCUAUUGUAUUCAUCCAGCAAGUGACAGUCCACAAUGGGGUCACCAGCUACCUGGGGAAGAAGGCAGUCCUGCCCUACAAAAUCGCAAUAACAGAGACUGGUUGUCUACAAUCUAUCGCAUGAACAAAAUUAUCCAAUGGAGAAGGCGGAUCUUGUUUUCUCACAUUUUGCUUGAUAGAUGCCAUACUGGCAGUUGAACACCUCUUCUUGAUGGAUAAAGUCACCUACAUAUGCAAGUUGCUACAUAUCUCAAUGGCAAUGAAGUAGAAACCAACAACCUGGUUAUCCUGGCCAAACCCAUAGGCAACACUGAGCUGAGGAAGUGAAGGCUAGCAACACAAAGCAGCUUAUGGCUGUGUGCACAUCCACAAAUGAGAAGCUGCCAGCUUGCAUCACCUGGCAGUUGAAGCUGCAUGGUAAUUUCAGUGCCAAGCAGAUAAACAACUCCGAUGGCACUGUCACUGUCAUCAGCCACUACAACAUGCUUCUCACCAAGGAAGCCAACAAGCAACAGAUCACCUGCCUUGUUGAACUGCCACAGCAUGAGUCUGUCCCUGGCUUUCCAUGUUGAAUGUUCCUGAGGUUGCAUAGAGGGCUACGAUGAAAACUGGUAUCUGACCCUCAAUGAGGCCACAUUCAUCUGCAGCAUGAGGGGAAAUCCCACCCUGUUAAGAUUUCUCCUGGACCACAUCCAGAGGACUGCACCCAAAGUCAGUGGAAGUCAUUGAUUAAUGAGAAACACCUUUAGCUGCCAACACCAAUUACAUGGGGCAAGUUUUGAUGCAGUAACUUGUUCUUGUCCAGGAGAAGCCCAAUAUGACUGGCACAGCCACCAAUAGAGCCAUCAUUGGAGACUUCUUAGCUACCAUCGUAGCCUUGUCCAUGGUGGCCACUGAAAUCCUGAUCUAUCAGCAGCAGCAGCAGCAGUAGCAGCAAAAGAACAAGCUGGAUGACAAGGAGAAUAAUUUGGAAGGACCUGUAGCACACAAGCCACUCCCCUUGCCAAUUUUUGGAAGAAAUGGAAUCAGUUCCUAACUCCACUGAGGCUGAAGUUCCCUUAAAGCUCCCUACUAUGAACCCAGGAUCACAGAUGACCUCUCUGGAAAAGUUAGUUCCACUAUGAAAGAGGAGAUGCUGCAAUACCACAAAUUACUAAUGCUAGAAGAGUGAGAGGUGGCAGGUAAGGUUGGCCCUAGUCUGGAAGAUCACUAUUUAGACUAGAUCAGGGGUGUUAAACUCAAGGCCCUUGGACUGGAUCCGGUCUGUGGGGUGCUUAAAACUGGCCCGCAGGGCCGGCCUGGAAAUAUCAAAGGAUCAGCCCACGAUGCCUCUGCUGGCCAAAACAGACCAUGGGGGGGGACGUGUGGCCCCUUGUGGCCCGUUUUCAGCCUCCACGGCCUCCUGCAGCACUCUGCCAGCUGAAAACGGGCCAUGCGGAGGCGCCACGUGGCCCCCGCGUGGCCCAUUUCUGGCCUUUCCAGCCUCCAGCAGCGCUCUGCCAGCCAAAAACUACUACUACACUCUGCGUGGCCCGUUUUCGGCAGGCAGUGCUACAGGAGGACUGGAUUGGACUGGAUUACAAUUAUGUGGCCUCAAGUAAGUGCCUGAUCUGGAUAGAAAACAAGCAACAUCCUAUGUUAAUACUACAGUUUAAUGCCAGAUUUUACGUAGUGUAGGUCCAUUUAAUCUACAAUCAACAAUCUAUAAUUGACAGCUGUUUCUAUUUACUAUCUUGGAAAUUUACCUCUGCUGUUAAGUCUUGUAUUAUCAUGUUUUUUGUGCUAUUGUAUUUUUAUUAUUAAUUGAAUAAUAAAAAUACAAUAGUAUAAAUAGCUUUGCUGCCUGGAAAAGAAAUAAAAAGUUUAGUGGAGUAUGAAGAAUAAGUAAUAAAUGUUUGCCAGUAAUAUCUGGUAGAAGAGAUAGGAAAAUGAUUAUAGUAAAGAAUUGUGGAAAGAAAGAAAAGAAGGGGAAAAAUGCAUCUUGAGCCUGUGUCAAAUGCUCACCAUGACCACGUCCACCCCAGCCAUGUCCACCAUGACCAUGCCCACCCCUGGCCACACCAACCACCACCCCUGGCCCUCCGAGGUCAAACACAACCCUGAUGCAGCCUUCAAUGAAAUCGAGUUUGACACUUCUGGACUAGAUCAACCCCAUUUAUGACACCCUGUCUUUACAUCUACAGAGGGAGAGAUAGCUUUGACAUCUGUGGCCCCCAAUAAGGCCUUGUGAUAUCCAGAGCUACGUAUGUCUAAAUCUACAGCCACAAUCCAAAAGACGGGAUGCUGCUUAAAAUAUAUUCUGUUUUGGAGGAAAUAAAAAGAAUAAUGUGUCUUGGACCCUUGGCUCCUGCUUGAGCAGCAGAUAAAGGCUAUGGCCAGGAGAGCCUUUGCUCAGCAGUGAAUCUUAAGGGAAUGGAAAGCUACUGCAAGAGGGACAUAUGCCCUAUGCUUAAGACAUUUCUGAUAUGCUUUACAUGCCACUGCCCCCUCCCCCCAAAAGAAGCUCUGGCUGCUCCAAAAUGUACUUGCUGACAGGUUUUUAUAUUAAGAUUUUUCACCACUGCUGCAACUUUUAAAAUGAGCAAGAGGCUCAGAAUAGGGAUUGGCAAAUCUCAGUAUAAUUUUCUGCCGACUCAAGAAUGAGUGGUCAGCACUUUAACUCAGCAAAGGAGAAAGACCCUAAGUUUUCCUACAGAUCACCCUGCUGCUGAAAUAGCCAUACUGGGAUUGGUCAAUCAGUUUUCCAGAAAUAAAUUUUCUGAAAGAAUACCAAAA